rnacentral:rRNA from 1 species
GCAAUCUGCCCUUCACUCUGGGACAAGCCCUGGAAACGGGGUCUAAUACCGGAUAACACUCUGUCCCGCAUGGGACGGGGUUGAAAGCUCCGGCGGUGAAGGAUGAGCCCGCGGCCUAUCAGCUUGUUGGUGGGGUAAUGGCCUACCAAGGCGACGACGGGUAGCCGGCCUGAGAGGGCGACCGGCCACACUGGGACUGAGACACGGCCCAGACUCCUACGGGAGGCAGCAGUGGGGAAUAUUGCACAAUGGGCGAAAGCCUGAUGCAGCGACGCCGCGUGAGGGAUGACGGCCUUCGGGUUGUAAACCUCUUUCAGCAGGGAAGAAGCGAAAGUGACGGUACCUGCAGAAGAAGCGCCGGCUAACUACGUGCCAGCAGCCGCGGUAAUACGUAGGGCGCAAGCGUUGUCCGGAAUUAUUGGGCGUAAAGAGCUCGUAGGCGGCUUGUCACGUCGGAUGUGAAAGCCCGGGGCUUAACCCCGGGUCUGCAUUCGAUACGGGCUAGCUAGAGUGUGGUAGGGGAGAUCGGAAUUCCUGGUGUAGCGGUGAAAUGCGCAGAUAUCAGGAGGAACACCGGUGGCGAAGGCGGAUCUCUGGGCCAUUACUGACGCUGAGGAGCGAAAGCGUGGGGAGCGAA